rnacentral:rRNA from 1 species
CCUACGGGAGGCUGCAGUGGGGAAUAUUGGACAAUGGGGGCAACCCUGAUCCAGCCAUGCCGCGUGUGUGAAGAAGGCCCUCGGGUUGUAAAGCACUUUCAGUGAGGAAGAACGCCUGGUGGUGAAUACCCAUCAGGAAAGACAUCACUCACAGAAGAAGCACCGGCUAACUCCGUGCCAGCAGCCGCGGUAAUACGGAGGGUGCGAGCGUUAAUCGGAAUUACUGGGCGUAAAGCGCGCGUAGGUGGCUUGAUAAGCCGGUUGUGAAAGCCCCGGGCUCAACCUGGGAACGGCAUCCGGAACUGUCAAGCUAGAGUGCAGGAGAGGAAGGUAGAAUUCCCGGUGUAGCGGUGAAAUGCGUAGAGAUCGGGAGGAAUACCAGUGGCGAAGGCGGCCUUCUGGACUGACACUGACACUGAGGUGCGAAAGCGUGGGUAGCAAACAGGAUUAGAUACCCCGGUAGUC